rnacentral:rRNA from 1 species
AGAGGUCCCGAGCGUUGUUCGGAUUCACUGGGCGUAAAGGGUGCGUAGGUGGUGAGGUAAGUCGGAUGUGAAAUCUCCAAGCUCAACUUGGAAAUGGCAUUGGAAACUACCUCGCUGGAGGUUUGGAGGGGGGACUGGAAUUCUCGGUGUAGCAGUGAAAUGCGUAGAUAUCGAGAGGAACACCAGUGGCGAAGGCGAGUCCCUGGACAACACCUGACACUGAGGCACGAAAGCUAGGGGAGCAAACAGGAUUAGAUACCCUGGUAGUCCUAGCCGUAAACGGUGCGUAUUUGCUGUAAAAGGAAUCGACCCCUUUUGUGGCGAAGCCAACGCGAUAAAUACGCCGCCUGGGAAGUACGGUCGCAAGAUUA